rnacentral:rRNA from 1 species
UACGUAGGAGGCAAGCGUUGUCCGGAUUUAUUGGGCGUAAAGAGCGUGUAGGCGGCCAGGUAGGUCAGCUGUGAAAACUCGAGGCUCAACCUCGAGACGUCGGUUGAAACCACCUGGCUAGAGUCCGGAAGAGGAGAGUGGAAUUCCUGGUGUAGCGGUGAAAUGCGCAGAUAUCAGGAAGAACACCCGUGGCGAAGGCGGCUCUCUGGGACGGUACUGACGCUGAGACGCGAAAGCGUGGGGAGCGAACAGG